UCUCCAUUUCACGCACUCUCUCACCGGUCAGAGAAGCGAGAGAGAGUGUUCGAAAUGAAGAGA
rnacentral:pre_miRNA from 1 species